rnacentral:miRNA from 1 species
CAGUCCAGUACAGCUCAGCACAGUCUAAUACAGUCCAGUAUAGACCAGUACUGUCCAGUACAGAUCUGCAAAGUCCAGUACAGUACAGUACAGUCUAGUACACUCCAGCACA